rnacentral:rRNA from 1 species
GACGAACGCUGGCGGCGUGCCUAAUACAUGCAAGUCGAACGAACCGCGACUAAGUGCUUGCACUAAGUCAAGGUGAGUGGCGAACGGGUGAGUAACACGUGGGUAACCUACCUCAUAGUGGGGGAUAACAGUCGGAAACGACUGCUAAUACCGCAUAGGACAUAGGAUCACAUGAUCCAGUGAGGAAAGGUGGCGCAAGCUAUCGCUAAGAGAUGGACCCGCGGUGCAUUAGCUAGUUGGUAGGGUAAAGGCCUAUCAAGGCGAUGAUGCAUAGCCGACCUGAGAGGGUGAUCGGCCACAUUGGGACUGAGACACGGCCCAAACUCCUACGGGAGGCAGCAGUAGGGAAUCUUCCGCAAUGGACGCAAGUCUGACGGAGCAACGCCGCGUGAGUGAAGAAGGUCUUCGGAUCGUAAAGCUCUGUUGUUAGAGAAGAACAGCGCAUAGAGUAACUGCUAUGCGUGUGACGGUAUCUAACCAGAAAGCCACGGCUAACUACGUG